rnacentral:lncRNA from 1 species
AAAAAUUAACUAUUAGUUCCAUUAGUAGGCUCGAAGUUACUAAUUGAUGCUAAUAGUUCAUAUACAUCUUCAACUCCCUGUCUAACCACCUAAUAGCACUAAUAGCAUGUGGAUCCAAACAGACUCUUAGCUAAAAAAUAGCAACUAUUAGUUAUUAGCUAGCUAAUUUUGUGCUGAUGGAUACAAACACGCCCUAAGAUAGUCGCCGUAUGUUUGAACUAAUGGAGAGAUUCGUCAUGUCAACAUCAAUAUGUCCAGCUACAUACAAUCAAUGUCAGUCCUGGAUUGCUCACGUCAACAUCAAAGACGUCAGUAAGUUUUGCCCUACACCGUUUACUUAAGAGCAUGUCAAGAGUCUCUCUCUAAAUCAUUAUUUGAAAAACCAUUUGUAUAAAAUUCGCUUUCUACAUCUUUUCGCUCUUCAAUAGUUUUUCUACAUUUUAUGUGUAUUUUACAGAGCCAUUCUCAUUUUGUAUCUUUGGCUAGCGAAAAAUCUAGAAUAGAAGAUAACUAUAUUUGGAUAACAAAAUAAAGAAGCCAUAUUUUUUAUUAAAAUCUCUAUUUUUAGCAAUUAUUAGAAAGGAUAUAGUCUCGGAGUUGCUCGAAAGGGAUUGCUCAGGAGUACGCCCCGCAGAACCUUUUGAUGUGAAUACUGAAUUCGGAUUGGAUCCAGAAUUUGAUGAAAAAUGGACUGAGAUGCUGGUUACGUGCAGUGAUGUUGUAGAUGAUGGGCAGUCAACUCGUAAGUGAUGGCUGACGAUCUAAAGAGGCAACGAGUCACAAUUCCAAAGCCGUUUGGCAACAUUUACACGGGUUUAUUAUGCCACAACAUUUCAAACCAUAAUUAUUUAAUUCAGAGAAAGAAAUAAGAUUGUUUGAAAAUUUCCUGCCUGCAAAAGGUAAAUUGUGUCAUUCUAAAUGGACCUUGUGUAGCACUGUCAAUUUGUUUUUUAUAAUAUUAAACCCAGCAGAUUGCAAGGUCUCCAUUUAUUCUGUUCAAAAAGAUCGUUUUGUACAUUCAAAUGGCAGUUUAGCUUGAAUAAUGGCUAAACAUUAGCUUUAAGUAAACACGAUCAUGAUGACAAGAGGCAUUUUGCAGAUGCAAUUCGCCAAUUUCGGUGGCCUUUGAGCGCACACAUUCCAUUGACCCAGAGUAUUUGCAACCUCCUCAAAAUUCUCGUUUGAAGUUAAACUGAACUUUCUGUGACGUUACAGUUUCCGGUUAAUAAUAACUGGCUGCGGGGAAAUACACGAUGGUUUAUAAAAAUAAUAAAAAAUGGAAACCUCGCACGCACACGGGAGCAAAAAGCUGUACAAUUCACUUGUAAUCCUCCAGCCUAUGUAGCAUCAUUGUUUGCUUUGAGCUGUGAUACAAACAUCCAAGUUAGCCUAACCACAAUUUAUGGAUUAUACAACAAGAGCACGUCUGAAUUAUACAGCACAAACAGCAUCGGUGCAGUAGAAAACUGAAAAAUGCAGCAUCUCAAACAAAGCUUCCAAUAAAGAAGUAGAACAGUGCACUCAGCACGUCCAGUGAAUCUAGAAUCAGACAGAUAUCUUGAAAUAUCAACAUCGCAUCCGUGAAACCCAAACAGCUCAUCAACUAUCCUAGAGGUAAAUAUCCUCCAGUAAAACACAGCACAAAAGGUUCGGGGUACUCAAGGCACAAGCUAGGCAUUGCAAAUACUGGAACCAGAAAUUUUCAGAAGGACCCCUAAAUCGGAUCGCGGUUAAUAAUCGCGAUCCAAAUCAGGAAUCAUGUUGCAAAUAUUUGUUCUGGCAUUUUACUAACGGAUCCCUGCAUCGGAUAAUCGCGACCCAAAUCAGGGGUUUGUUCCGAAAUUUACAAAGGAUCGAUCGCGAUCAACCAAAUCAGGGGCAUUUUGAAAAUGUUCCAUCCGCCAUUUUACGAAAUCCGCGCGGAGAGCAGACGGCGAGCCCGCGCCGCCGCCGGCGACCUCUGCUAGCCCCAGCAGCAGGGAAACCUUCUCGGCGGCGCCUCUCCAUGCGGACGCUGUACAGGAGGCUGCUGGCGUGGAGCGACUCCGACACGGAGGACAACGACCGGCUGCUGGCGACGCCGACGAGCCGCCGGGGCCUGGCCACGGUCGGCGGCGGCUCGUACGACCGGGCGUGUGCCGCGGCCGCCUCUGUCGGCGACGUGCUCGUCCAGGCCGGAGCCGACGACGACGGCCGCCGCGCGGGGAAGUCGCCGUCGCUCGCCCGGCAAGAGCAGGGUGAGUACAGAGGAUGAAAGGAACUAGCGUAUUGGAACCAGCGCUGCUGCGUUAGACGUUUGACUUGCACGUGACAAACUCACCGCCGGGCCCUGUGCAACGCGUGCUUGCAGGCUUUCAUUGCCGCGGCGGCGGGGGCUCGUCGCCGGCGGCUGCCUCUGCGCUUACCUGGCCUGGCGGCACUGUGGCAGCACGGGCAAGCUGCCAAUCCCCGUCUUGAUUUGAUCCACGCAUGUUCCCAUGGUUCAAAAAUGAUGGCACGUUUCGCAUCGUCUUCAGCUUGAGCAGCAGCAGUUCGGUCCAUGGAAUUUUGAUAUGUUGCAUCUUGUAUAUGGUCAGCCGGACACAAUUAUAUCUGGAUUCGCCGUGAGACAUUUGAGAUGAAUACGAACGAACAUGGGGUUUAGAUGAAUUUUACAUGACCGCGUGAUGAUUCAUUGUUUGGCUGAGACCGGCAAGCCGUAGCACCCCUCCAAUCCUCCAUGGACUCUAUGCAGGCAAGUUCUUUCCAAGGUUUCUCCGGUUGCAAGCAAUUGCAGACAGAAACCUUGAAAAACGGUUACUAAUAAUGCUCUGAAAGCGAAACAGCAAAGGUAAGUUAGCAGAUGUCUGAAACUAAAACAACCGAGACGUUGAAGUCAAACUCUGAAAAAUAUUUACGCUUGAAUGCUUAGGCUUCCGAAGAAUCUGAUAGUGAUGUACAAGACCUCAGUGCAAGGAUAUAUCUUCUAUAUCUCCUAAACUGCAACCAUGUCAAAAAAAAAUGGCCCGGCUGUCUCUAUUCUCUGCAGGUACACUUCCCUCCCCUGAAAAUGUGGAACCCUGACGAGUCUCUGACCGAGAUCACCUUACCGGUGGCGGCGGAGGCGUGCUCCAGGAAAGAGUGGCAGUCGCCGCACAUGCGGAUGUUCUUCACGACGCGGACGGCCCGCCCGGUGCCUGCCGUCAGGAUGCCGUACAUGGCCGCCAGCUUCGCGCUGUGGUACAUCAGGAAGUGCCGCUUCUGGUACUCCUCGACGUCGUGGAGGACGAAGGUGGUGUCCGGCUCGUACCCGGCCUUGAUGCACUCGAGGAUCAGCACGUCCAGGCCCGCGUAGAUGUCCUUGGACUGCGGGUGUGAUCUGUCCCGUGCGAAGAACGAGUGGACAGUGUUGUCGUUGAACGUCCAGCUCCGUGCUGGGAUCUUGCGCAUGCCCUUCUCGCGCAUCUCCAGCCUUGUGGUCUCAGAGGAGUGCCACCUUGCUGAUUCGGAGAAGAGAUUUGAUGUCAAUACGUAAGUGGAUGGAUCUUGUGGUUCCAAUGCAAGCAAAUGCUUCAUAGCUCGUCUUCGCACGGUCAUGUUGGAGCGCUUGCUGCAGCUGUCUAGCAAAGACCGCCAAACUAAUGCACCAGGCUUGAAUGGCAUACUGCCUAUAAGCUGUUCUGCCUCAUCAAAGUGACCCCAGCAGCCAAGAACGUUAACAAAAGCUGCAUAGUGCUCCAUGGCUGGUUCAAUUCCAUAGCUGCUUGACAUCGAAAGAAAGAGUUCCCUGCAUUGAUCUGUAGAAUCUGAGCUUGUGUGACUGCAAGCAGACAUGACCAGAAGAAAGGUAAUGGAAUCAGGCCUGAUGCCUAAUCUCUCCAUCUGAGCCCAUAUGUCCAAUAUCUCUUCUCCCUGACGAUGAAGAAGAUGGGCAGUGAUCAUUGCAUUCCAUGACACCAGGUCUCGACAAGUCAUCCGCUCAAAGAAAUUGACUGCAUCAUCCAACUCCCCACACUUGCCAUACAUACUGAUGAUAGCAUUACCGACUCCACAAGCAUACAGAAGCCCAGAUUUUGCAGCAAAGGAAUGCAUUUGCUUUCCAAGUUCAGCAAAACCCAGAGCGCCACAUACUCCAAGGGCAGCAGUCAGCAUGAACUCAUCGAUGAAUCCUACACCACUGCUUCUAAACAUCUGAAGGAAGGUUGAAAGUGCUUUCUCAUACUCGCCAUCUCUGACACUAGCCAGCAGCAAAGAAUUCCAAGCAAUAUGAAAGCUCUCUUGAUGGCGCCAUUGCUCAAACAACAGAUGUGCAUCCCCAGAACGGCCGCACUUGAUGCACAUAUCGAUCAACGCGGCAUCUAUCCAAGGAGUAGAGCCGCAGCCGCACUUAAUCACAAAAGCAUGAACCUGCUCACUCACCUUCCUAUCUGCAGCAAUAGCACAGGCGUUCAGAGCACUGGUCACCGUGACAUCUGAGACCUCCAGCCCAUCCUCCACCAUUUGCCUAAACAGCCCCAGGCCUCGGAGCCCUGCCUUCUUCGCGAACGUGACCCGCACGCCUUCCUUGUUCUGACAAAACCCGGUCAGGACCGCAUUGUAUGUGACAAAGUUCCUCUCAGGCAUCCGAUCAAACACGUCCAGAGCCAUGUCGACCAGACCGAACUCCAUGUACCCAUUCAGCAACCCGGUCCACGAAAUCACAUCCUUCACCGGCAUCCCCUGGAACACGCUCACCACGUCUUCGACGGAGCUGCCAUGCUCCGCGUAGAACCCGAUGAGCGCAUUGCCCACGCUCAGGUCCGUCUCCAGCCCGGACUUGAGCGACAGCGCGUGCACGGCCUCCCCCUCGGGGAGGCCGAACCCCUCGCCCGCCGCGGCCAGGAGCGCCGACAGGGAGAAGCUGUCGGCGCGGACCCCGCUCGCCCGCAUCUCGCCGAACAGCCCGAACGCCUCCUCGUGCCGCCCCAGCUCGACCAGGCCGGCCAGGACGGCGUUCCACGAGGAGACGUCGCGGCGCUCCAUGCCGUCGAACGCCCUCAGCGCGUCCCCGAGGCGGCCGCACUUGACGUACAUGCCGAGGAGCGCGUUGUCGACGAGGAGCGACCCGGGGCCGGAGCACGAGCAGUGGCCGGACUUGGCGGCGAGCGCGUGCACCUGGGCCCCGAGCCGCGGGUUGCCCCUGCGGGCGCAGGCGGUGAGGAGGCCGACGAAGGUGUACUCGGUGGGGUCCAGCGCGUCCGCGAGGCGCAUGCGGGCGAGCAGCGCGGCGGCGGCGGACGCGGGGGAGCCGAGGCGCGCGUGGCCCGAGAUGAGCGCGCUGUAGGAGGCGGCGUCGCGCGCGGGCAUCCGGUCGAACACGCCCCGCGCGUCGGCCAGGCGGCCCGCGCGGAGGUACGCGCACAUGACGGCAUUCGCGGCGCGGGCGUCCGGGGAGGUGGACGUGCCCAGCGCGCCGGACUUGACCGCCACCGCGUGCGCGGCGCGGGGGUCGGCGGCGUGCGCGCGGACGGGUAGGCGGGGAGGGGGACCAUGGGAAGGCGUAGGAGGAGACGGCGCGGGCGGGAAGGGGAGGAAGGGAGGGGGCGGGGAGGGGAGGUGGAGCGGGUGAGGGGAGGAGGGGGAUGAGGUGGAGAUGGCCAUUCAUUUCACUCCGAGGCACGCGGAGCUAAGCUUCGGCAGGCUUGCUGUGCUCGGGCAGCUCGCUCCUCCGCGCUCUCUCGCGCCCCACCCCUCACGGCGGGACGGAGAUCCAGUGCAUUCAUCUUGGGCUUUUUCUCUCUCUCCCCCUGUUUGUUCCGCGGCCUGGUGGGUCGGUCUCAGCAGCUCCCGACCACACCGGUAUUGGGCCAGGUCGUCCUGACCGACCGAGCUUUCCAAUUGUUUUCCAGAGUGCCCUUAAUUUUACCUAGCCUUUUUCCAUCUCUCAAAACAAAUACUCCCUAUAUCCUAAAAUUUGGCAUGGUCUUCCAUACUAAUAUUUGACUCUCAAUAUUUCCUAUAAUAUAAUAUGUGUAGCAGUAAAAUUAUAGCGAUAUAUAUUUUUUUAAAUGCAAGUCCAAUGAUAUUAUAUUUUUAUAAGAUAAUGUUUUUAUUAUACAAAAAUAAUUGUAGGCCAAAACUUUUGAAAUUUGCAUCUUAAGUUACGUGCACUCCUUUGUAUUAUGGGAUGGAGGGAGUAUCGGCUAACCAAUUACAACAAGUUCAGGUGCUACACGCGGCAAAUGUUUUAUUCGCCGGUGAGCUUGAUGGUUGCGCGAUAUGCUUUGCCACUUGUCAUGAGAACGGAAAGGAAUGUUGUUGUGGGAGCACUGUUGCACCAUCAGUGAACAAUAUCUUUGUUUAAGAAUUCGCAGGUACGAAUCGAAUUCUCGUACUUUUGUAGUGAAAGUUGACGACUCUCUUUUUUAAAAGAAGAAGAAACGAUGGCUCUCUUCGUUUUUUGUUACACCGGACACCGCCGAGCGGUCUAGCUCCACAUCAACUACUACUUGGCCGUCAGCUUCGACCCUUUUGGUUGGAUGGACCAAACGCCGUCGAAAUCUUGUGGCCACCAGAUACAUGAGCACUGCCAGGUACAGGAACCGAAGCAUAAACGGCAGCAUCAACGGCAGGGUGAUGAGCCAGCGCGGUGGCGCCGCCGUCGUGGAGCGCUACCCGCGCGAGGCCAGCCUCCAUCGCCACCGUGAGCACCACGAACGCCACCUGCAAGUCUGCAACGCGCACAGAUGACAGAGGGCAAGUAAGAAACGCAUGCACCAUCUAUCUGAUUCCAAAUGUAAUUAACGCUGAGCUGAGAGCCGCGCGUACGUCGAUGCAGGCCUUGCGGAAGGGUCUCAUGGGCCGGAGGGGCAGCUCGUCGACGUGCCGCAAGGGGUCCCAGCAGGGCUUGUCGCCGGCGUCAACGGCGCUCUCGUCGGCGUCGUAGUCGGCGACCUCGAGGAUGAGGUCGCCUGAUGAGCUCGCGGUUAUUAGGUCUUCGGAGGCCUCGAGGACGAAGUAACAAGGUGCGCCGGAUCCGUCGCCGCCGGAGACGACGACGGAGUAGUCGACGGCCGGCCGAGGCAUGAACAUCGACGGCGGAGGGCAGACAUGAAGCGCGCAUACAUUUUGACCAUACAUGAAGAAGUUCAUGUCCUUAUUCACAAAAGAAGAAGAAGAAGUUCAUGUCCAUUUCUUGGGCAUAUAGUUAAUAUCCGAAAAGCGCAAAAUUAACUGGAUCUUUAGAGUGGCCGAAGAAACUCUUUAGGAUAGCGUACAAGCAAACGUUGGCAGGAGUGGUAGAAGAUGCAUGGUGUGCUACACAUGCGCUUCCUUUCUUCGGUUCUCUCGCUCACUUUCGCGAAAUUGAGCAAAAUUUGGUUGGAAGUAGGGGACGGACUCAUUCAUCCGGCAAUGGAGACCAUCGCGACUUUGGGCGAAAUUGAGCCGAAUCCUGUGGAUUUCUCCCUCCGGGAACGAGAGGCAGCUCCGCAUUUCGAGGUGCCGAAUGGAUCCACCUUUGGGCUCUUUCUUGGCCACGAGGCUGACGCCCUGACGCGAGGAGGAGCAUGAGAGGAGGAGGAUGUCGUCGUGUUCACUACUGGCGCGGCGGAGGAAGCGUCCGGCCCGGCCGCACGCUGUGCCGACUGCCGACAAGGCGACAGGGACAGAAGCGCGCACCCCGCUUCGGGCUUCGGCGCUUCCCUGCGCAGCCCAGCGCCAGCGGCGUCGGCCUAUGCCCCUGCUCCGUUUCACCCCGGCCGCGUAAUUCCUGGCGUGGCAGCGUGAGAUGAGCACGAGCACUGGAAUAUUUAAUUAAUUACCAUUGUAAGAAAUGGUGCACCUUCGAAAACCACUUUUAGAAUUCCAUCUACAUUUUUACCAUCGGAGAGAAGAUUUAGUUACACGUUCGCCAUUUUGACCUCCGUGGCGUACCAUGUCACGCUUCCACGCUGGACUCCGCUCGCGGGCUUCGUCGUCCUCCGGCGCUCUUCUGCUGCAUCGGCGGCGCUGGGUCCUGCUCCCUCCGCUGGCGCCUCUUCUUCCUGACGUGGUACGCGUACAGGAAUAGCAUGAAGAGGAGACCCACGGCGGCGAGCGAGGCAAAGGACUGGGACUUGCCGUCGAAGAACCUGGACAGGCCCCUCUUGAAGGGGAGCUCCGUCAUGUGGCCGGACAUCUCAAAGCGGUCAGAGCCGGUGGUGGAGGAGGAGGAGCUCGCGUCGUCGUCGAGCUCGGAAGACUCCCCGGACGUGGACGGCGACGACGACUCGGAGGACUCCGACGGCGAGCCGAUGUCCUCCUCCUGCUCCUCGCACGCGGUGGCCGCCUCCGGCCUCCCGCUGCGGAACAAGUAGUACGCGGCCUCCAUGAUCCAAGAUCCUUCGAGACCCCGAGAUCAGACCAGACGAAGAGCACUCAACGAAGAGAAAGAGAUGGAGCAAAAGCAGCGCUGUGACACAGCGUGGGUGGCGGAGGCAGACAGGGACUUCGACCCCGACGUCUGGGUCGACGUGCUGGCCAGCAUGGCCACCAUCUUCGCCGACGCGGCAUGAGCCUGCGGAACGAGGUCCGUGGCCCGAGGCAGAACACCGAGGACUGGUACACGUACAUGCAGAGGGGCGCGGAGGCGGUGCCGCGGUGCGCGCGGCGAACCCCCGGGCGCUGGUGAUCAUGGGCGGCCUGAGCUACGACUACGACCUGUCCUUACUGGCGCCAAGGCCGGUGGGCGUGAGCUUCGCGGCGGAGGGCAAGCUGGUGUUCGACACUACGGGAAACACAAACAUUGCCGAGUGCCAGGGGCACUCGGCGAAGGGCUAAAAACACUCGGUGAACCGUUUGCCGAGUGUAACACUCGGCAAACGGCACACGGGGAAUUCUGAGUCGGCAAACACCGAUUUGCCGAGUGUUUUGUGUCGCGCACUCGGCAAAGACUUUGCCGAGUGGCCACAAAACACUCGGCAACAUUUUUUGCGAAAAAUUAAAAAAAAAUAACCUCCGGCGGCCAGCCACCACCACCGGCCGGCCGCUACGCACCGCCGCCGCCUCGACCCGACGCCUCGACCCGCCGCCGCCGCCGCCUCGACCCCCCGCCGCCGCCGCCUCGACCCGCCACGACCCGCCGCCCCCCGCCGCGGGCCAGAUCCGAAGCCGCCGCCCCGGUCGCCAGAUCCCGCCGCCGCCGCCUCGACCCGGCGCCGCCGCCUCGACCCGCCGCCGCCGCCGCCUCGACCCGCCGCCCCCCGCCGCGGGCCUGAUCCGAAGCCGCCGCCCUGGUCGCCAGAUCCCGCCGCCGCCCCGCGGCCAGAUCCGCCGCCGCCGCCCCACCCGCCACGACCCGCCGCCGCCCCGCGGCCAGAUCCGCCAGGGGAGGGGUGCGCGUGCGGCGGUGGCGGCGGCGGUGGCGGCGGCGGCGGCAGGAGGCCGGGGUGGGGAAGAGAGGGGGGAAGAGAGGGGGGCGGCCGGUGUGUCCCACUUAGGACACUCGGUAAACUUUUUUUGAAAAAAAAUUAAAAAAUAUCCAACAGUUUCAAAAAAAUACCAAAUUUUCACACGCCCUAAUAUAUAUUCUCUAUUGAUUAUAAAAAAAGUUUUGUAGUCAAAUCAAACUCGACCGUCACUUCGACUCUAAAUCUUAUCGAAUCCUCUCAAAGUUACUAUUCUUCUUCUGAGAUGCUUCGGUUUGUAAUCAUCGUACAUGAUGAAAUGUGCAAAACCUUCUCAAUUUUUUUCCACAGCCUCCAUGUAUUAUAUCAUCACAUCAUGACAAAUCUUAAGAUUUUCAGACUUUGAUUGUUUUUUUUACAAUUUAAAAAUACUACUGCCACACGUUCAUGGUCGUGUUUCCUGAAUAAGAUGUUCGAAAUUUCUUUUCAUUUCAUGGGUCAGGUCUCAAAUUGGUCCAAAUAACAUGAAUAUCAUUUUUCUACUCAUUUUAUUCCAUAAUUUGAAUCACUUGCAGUUCAAAAUUAACUUAUACCAAAAAUUCUCUUGAAAUGCAAUUAAUUAAUUAAAUAUAGCAAAUAAAUUCAAAAAUAUACCAAAUUUUAACAUGGAGUACCACAUGUUGUAUGUGGGGAGUAGAAAAAAUUUCAUGGUGAAAAGAGAAAAAAAAUUAUUUUUUUGCCGAGUGUAAAAAAAAAACACUAGGCAAACCCCCCUCUUUGCCGAGUGUUUUUUUGACACUCGGCAAACCCCCCUCUUUGCCGAGUGUUUUUUAUUUGACACUCGGCAAAGCCCCGAUUUGCCGAGUGUUUUUUUUUGCCGAGUGUUUUUGGCUUGGCACUCGGCGAAGAGCUUGUUUGCCGAGUGUCCGAAAAAAAACACUCGGCAAAAAGAAAACACUCGGCAAAUUUAAGGUUUCCCGUAGUGCGAGGUGCACUGGUACAGCUUCUCGGAUGCGCGCGCGUGGGAGGUCGGAAACGCCAACGAGGUCUGCGCCCGCGCCACGCGCUAACUUCGAGCGCCGCGACGGGUUCCUCCUCGCCCAGGGCCUCCCGCUCUUCCUCAGCGAGUUCGGCGCCGACCUCCGCGGCGGCGACCUCAGGGGCAACCGCUACUUCCCGUGCGCCGCCGCCGUGGCCGCCGAGCACGACCUCGAUUGGGCCUACUCGGCGCUGCAGGGCGGGGGCUCACGCCCUGAUCCAUGCCGUCCCGUCCACCAGCAGUAUACCAUGCGCGCAGGAACAAGAACGGGGAUGGAGAAUUGGAGAUCGAUUCGCUUCAGCUUAUUCAGCCGACUUAUCAGCCACCAAACAGUGUUUUCCUCUCACAACAAAUCAGCCAUUUCAACUUUUCAGCCGGCUUAUAAGCUGAAGCGAACAGGCUCGAGUAGCCGCCGGACGAUACUAGGGGCACCGGGAUCUUUUCACGAGCGGCGUCCAGUGUGGAAGCGUGACAUGGCGCACCAGUGAGACUAAAAUGACGAAUGUGUAACUAAAUCUUCUAAGUGGUGACAAAAAUAUGGAUGAAAUUAUAAAAGUGGUUUUCGAAGGUACGACAAUUCUUACUGUAGCAAUUAAUUAAAUAUCCCACGAGCACCACACCGUGCGAGGGGGAAGCGUCACUGGUCGGAUCCUCUGAGCCCAUCCCAGCCCUGCCGCCGGUUCGCCAUUAUACUGUUGUCCCGCCCGUUUGGUGACUUGGCACGGUCACCGGACACUGAAGACGACGUCCCACGCAUCUUGCAUGUGCGGCCGCGCAGGUGCUUUCUUCUCCCCGUACCAAAAAAAAAAGGUGUUCCUCUGAAAACAUCUCGCAUGGCACGGCCUUAAUAACUCCAAAGCGCGGUGGCAAAUGUUUGAAACGGUAAUUGACGCGAUGCCACAUGAUAUCUUAAUCAUUCAUGUGAAUACCCAAACACAUGGAAUGCAAAUUAGUCUAUGCUUUUCUUGAGUAAUGGUAAAUGCGGCGAUAAGCCAGGAAAAAAAUUUUUAGCAGCGUAAUUAGUCCUAACAUUAAGGUUGGUUACUUUGUGGAGCUACAAAAUGUCGACUGAUGAGGUGAUCUAAUUAGCAUCUAGGAUAAUGGUGCUUAAGUACCAUCACUACCGGACACAGGUUUUAUGCCGAGUGCCAGGGGUACUCGGCGAAACCCGAAAUACUCUCGGCAACAAAUUCGCCGAGUGUUACACUCGGCAUCUGGCACUCGGCAAACUUUUAGUCGGCAAAGUAACAUUCGCCGAGUGUUUUCGGUCGGGCACGCGGCACAGCUUUCGCCGAGUGCCCAGAAAACACUCGGCCAACCAUUUUUUGGAAAAAAAUAAAAAAAAGGCACGCCGACACCGUCGGCCGCACCACCAGCAUGGCGCCACCAUCCACGCCGCCGCCACCACAGCCGGCCACCAUCCACGCCCGCCGCCACCAUCCACGCCGCCGCCGCCGGCCACCAUCCACGCCCGCCGCCACCAUCCACGCCCGCCGGAUCCGAGGCCCCCGACGCGAGUCCCCGCCGGAUCCGGGGAGGAGGGGCGGAUUCCCCGCCGGAUCCGGCCGGAUUUGGGGAGAGGGGCGGGGCGGCCACGCGAAGGAGGGAGGAGGGGAGAGGAGGGGGAGGGGCGCCGGUAGGAGAGGGAGAGGGAGAGGGAGGGAAGGGGCGGCGACGGUGGCAGCUAGCCGGCGGCGGGAGAGGAAGGUGGGGGAGGGGGGGCGUCGGGCACUCAGGCGGAGGCGCGCCGGCAGCGGAAGAAUGAAGGAGGCCAUGCAGGGCGCGUCGGGCGGGUGGGGAGUGGGGUGCUGUCCCGGGCCGGUAGAUAUUUUUGCGGGAUUUGCCGAGUGUCCUGAUCUGGACACUCGGCAAAGAUUUUUUUAAAAAAAAAUUCUUUGCCGAGUGUCCACCCUAGGACUUUCGGCAAAGUUUUUUUUAAAAAAAUAAAAAAUAUCUAACAGUUUAAAAAAAUACCAAAUUUUCACACGAAAUAAUAUAUGUUCUCUACUGACUAUAAAAAAGUUUUGUAGUCAAACCGAACUCGACCGUCACUUCGACUCUAAAUUUUAUCGAAUCCUUCUCAAAGUUACUAUUCUUCUUCUGAGAUGCUUCGAUUUGUAAUCAUCGUACAUGAUGAAAUGUGCAAAACCUUCUCAAUUUUUUUCCACAGCCUCCACAUAUUAUAUCAUCACAUCAUGACAAAUCUCAUGAUUUUCAGACUUUGCUUGUUUUUUUUACAAUUUAAAAAUACUACUGCCACACGUUCAUGGUCGUGUUUCCUGAAUAAGAUGUUCGAAAUUUCUUUUCAUUUCAUGGGUCAGGUCUCAAAUUGGGCCAAAUAAUAUGAAUAUCAUUUUUCUACUCAUUUUGUUCCAUAAUUUGAAUCACUUGCAGUUCAAAUUUGACUUAUACCAAAAAUUCCCUUGAAAUGCAAUUAAUUAAAUAAAUAUAGCAAAUAAAUUCAAAAAUAUACCAAAUUUUAACAUGGAGUACCACAUGUUGUAUAUGGGGAGUAGAAAAAAUUUCAAGGUGAAAAGAGAAAAAAAAUAUUUUUUUUUUGCCGAGUGUCAAAAAAGACACUCGGCAAAGAGGGGGGUUUGCCGAGUGUUUUUUUUGACACUCCGCAAAUAGGGGGGUUUGCCGAGUGUUUUUUAUUUGACACUCGGCAAAGCCCCGAUUUGUCGAGUGUUUUUUCUUUGCCAAGUGUUUUUGGCUUGGCACUCGGCAAAGAACUUGUUUACCGAGUGUCCGAAAAAAACACUCAGAAAAAAGAAACACUCGGCAAAUUUAAGGUUUCCCGUAGUGCAUGCACCUGGUUAACACAGUUCGAGUUCGCCUGUGUCACUGUCUAAACGAAAAUGUCCACGGAAUAAUGGCCCGUUCAGGUAGCCUUCACAUCCAGGGGCACACAUCAUUAUUGUGGACGCGAUCCACAUGCUCUACCUAAACAAAUCGGAUCCGUAUCGGCAUCGUCUAUGAUUAGUUCCAAGCCAUGCAAGUUGUUCUAGAGUACCUUUCAGCAUAUCUGUUGUUCAGAUUAUGAGACCUGUACGCAGGAAAAAAAAAUUCCGACGGGGGCAUUUCACGUACGCAUCGUCUUACAUUGACAGGAUCAAAUGCAGAGUCAAGUGAAAAAACACAUGAGAAAGUUUUGGUCGUCCAUUUUAUAAUAUGCCUAAUUUUGCCAGGAAAGAUUCGGUUAGGAGUGAAAAGGAAACGCGAUCCGACAAGUCUUGCAAUGAUGGCUGAAAUAUGUCUUGCCUUGCGAAUGCAAUAUCAAAUACGGUGCACAAGAAAUAAAAAUACCUGAACGAGAUCAAAUCCAAUAUCAAAUACGUCCCUAAUCUAGAAAAUAGUCUAUGAGUAUUUCACUAAUAAUAGAUAAAAAUAUCUAUUGUUUUGUAAAGCCAAUGUCAAAUAUGGAUUAAUAGGGCAACCUUCACGUCAAGUUUCUUAGUACUAGCUAAAGCAUGCCCUGAUGAGUUUUUGCGCAUAGCUAAAAUACGUGUUCCUUUGCUAAACCAAAAUCAGAUGUGGAAAAAAAAAUCUUGGCCGAGUUUUGAGGCAGUAGCUAAAGUAUGCCUUCCUUUGCAAAUUGGAUUGACACUAUGAAAAGCGAAAAAGAAAAGUUCCAGCGUUUUUUUGAGCCAUGGUUAAAUAUGUGUUGCUUUGUGGAGUCAACAUCAAAUAAAGAAUAAAAGCUCCAUAAGUCUUCAGGAAGUAGUUAAAAUAUGUGUUGUUUGUGAAGUUAAUAUCAAAUACCGAUAUACAACGGUAGCUAAAACAUGCCAUGUUUUUUCGACGACAAUGCUAAAAUAGACGACAAUGCUAAAACACAGGAUGUUGUGAAAUUCCUUCUCAAUUAACGAAAAAAAACCUCCAUAAGUCUUUAGGAAGUAGUUAAAAUAUGUGUCGUUUGUGAAGUUAAUAUCAAAUACCGAUAUACAGCGGUAGCUAAAACAUGCCAUGUUUUUUCGACGACAAUGCUAAAAUAGACGACAAUGCUAAAAUACAGGAUGUUGUGAAAUUCCUUCUCAAUUAACCUUAUCUACAGUAUUAUGGUACACGUGUAUAUAUGGGUGCAAGCCAGAGCAGAAGAUAACCAUCAAGAUCACCAAGCUCCACAUAUAGUCAUAUACAGAGAAAGUGGUUGCAGGGGAUCCUGGAUGCCGUUUUGCCUGAGGGCCGGUCUUCGGGGUCUUCAGUCUUCGCUCUCCACCGCGGUGAAAAACCGGAGUCCAAAAGAGAAAAGCCAGUUCACAGGAAAGCAACAAAAUCCACGUUGUUUUCUCCCGGCGCUUGUCUUGUUCCAUUGGAGCAAAACGGUGAUGCUACCACUCCAGCACCAGUAGACCGCCACAAUUAUGCAUUUUCCACUUAUAUAAGACCACCACUAGUCUUUAUCCUUUGCCUCCACUUGAUCCCUCCAUCUCUCCAUUCCCCUCCAUCAAAAGAAUUUCCAUUUCUUCCGUGGGAUUUCUGCGAUUUUUUUUUCUCACUCGGUUUCUUGUGGGGCUGGCCGCGAGGUUGCGAGGCCAAGCAGCGCAGCAAAAGUUGCGAUCUUUAUCGGCUGGAUUCCUCUCCUCCCUUUCUCUCUCAUCCUCCGCUUCCUUUGUGCUUCGUUGUUGAGAGUUGAGACCCACUUGCCUUUCUUCUCUCUCUCAUCCCCCUUCCAACUCCUCCUGGUCCCUGGAAAAAAGGAGAUCUUUUGGUGCAAGAUUCGAUCUGCUGUUGCCGCCUUGCUGCACAGAGAUUUGCUCCUUUCUUGGCCGGUUUCGCUCGGUGGUUUCUUGGAGUGGCAGGGCUUUCUGGUGUGGGCAGUUGCAGUUCUUGAUCCAGGCUCAGAUUGCAGGCGGUGGAUGAUUGCUCUGAGGGCGAGGUUGCUGCGGUCAGGUGAUUCCUUGGUCGCUUGUGGUGGCGGUGGCCUCGUUUGAUCCGUUUCUUCGGGAGAUUUUGGUUGAUGUGUUGGGUUUCCUGGGAGCUCAGUUCCCCAAUUCGCCAUUUUGAUGAGGAGUUCUUCCUACUGUGAGAGCAACUGCGCUCCUCCCCUGUGCUACCUGCCCUGCCUCCCCAAAUCCAAAGACGAUGCAGGGGGUGAUCUGGCAUCCGGGUCUCCAAGCCCGGCCGCUGUCACCGAGGACAAGCCGCCCGUGGUCCAGAAGAUUGAGGAAGCCGCGGCGGCGCCCGGCGGCGAUGAUGAUGAUGAGAAAGGCUGUAAGGAGGUGGCGGUGGCUUCCAAGAGCUGCUUGAAGAGAGCUGAUUGUGCGGACAGCAGUAAGAAUGUGGUGAAAGGCAAUGUGAAGUGGAAGGAUUUGUUGGGGAAGGAUCUCACACAAGUCAAAGAAUUCGAGCCAAGGUACGUGCGGUGUUCUUGCCAUGUUUCCUUUCUAGUAUUAUCUAGUUGAAAUUGCGGGUGAAUUUGGUAAUAUUGUAGAGUCAAAUUUGGAGAAUGUUUGCCAUGUGAUGUGUGUUGUUCACCAUUUUAGGUAGACGUCAAUUCUGCUAGUGGGCAUGUGGCAUGCCCCUGAUCUCUAGAGGAAUGUUCUGGUUUUAGGUCUCCGCGACGCCCAUUUGCUUUAAGUCAUGGUCACUUGCAGUUGUGCCUUGUGCUGACAUUGGGAAAACACUAUCUAAUGGCCAAGUCAACGGUUUGUCUUAUGCCUCAUGUCCCUUGGUAAUGGUGGCCAUCUUUUGCUGUUCCUAGGUGGUGGGUUAAUUAGAUAAGGUUGGGCCAAGUCAUUGUGUAGCAAUUCUACUAUAUUUGGUUUUGACCUUGGUUUGAGUGUGCAAGUACAUCUGUGGAUGCAUUGAGCUUGCUUCCAUAUGGUCGCUACCUGAUCAUUAAUUAGAAUGAGUUAGUUGUUGCGAAACCCAGUUUCUUGUGUCUGGGUGAAGCUAUAGACCAAACCAUCCUUCCCCUUUCUGGUUGGAUGGCUGCCCAGGAGUCCUAACUGCCAUCCGCCUUUUGUUCAGUGCGCCCAACGGUUUUCUUCAAUGCAUCAAGGAAGCGUUAUGAAGCAGUUUAGUUUUGUCGCUAUCUAGGUUUAGGCCAGUCCACCUAAGGAAAUUGGGGCUUUUUUUCAUCAUGCUUGCUGACUUUGCUUAAGAUAACCUGCUAGUCACUUCGAGCUUGUCUUGUGAUGGUUAUAUGCAAACUGAUUUUUUUCAGCUUGAUAUGUUCUUUUGAAACUGCAAAUAUACUCAUGGACGAGUCAUAGAUUUAAGUUGUUAAGUGGAUGAUGUUUGAAAUAGGGGUCAAGUCCAUCCAUCUGUGAAAUGUUUGUGGUGUGCUUCUCAAGUCACCAAUAGUAUUUGGUGUGUUCAGCUGGCUAGUUAUUUUCAGAGCUUGCAACGAAAUCGGAUUUACCCACUUGCCAGCAGUUCAUCUUUUCAUAUAAAAUAAGCCCAGGCCCUUUUUUUGGCUUGUUUUAUUGUUUCCAUGUUAACAUUAAAAGGGAUAUCGCGUUGAAGGUUUCGUCAAUAAAUCUUACUCAAUAUGACCUUGUAAUAAUCCUUUUCAGAAACAAAUAAAAUACCUACUUACAGACCAAUGAGUGUUUCAGUCAAGUCAGCGCAUAAUUUUUAAGAAAUGAAAUCACAAUCAGGGCAAUUGGACUUUCAUUUUCAGAGGGUCUCUUUACUACAGGUUGCUUCCUGUUGCUAUAUAAGACUGUAUCAUGAUUGGAUAGGUUGAAUUUGGAUUAGGUUUGUCACAGCCCCAUCUCUCAUUAAACCUAGUAAUGGUGCAUUGACACGGUAUUACUAACAUCAUUGUCAUUCCUGCUGGUGAUGGGAAUAUACAUUUGGAUAUAGUUGUGCGUCCUUGUGUUAAUUUCCAUCGUUUUCAGUUGCGUGUUCGUUUCAAGUUUUUCCACACUAGGGGCGGAGAAAAUCUAGGUUUUCAGUUGCGUGUUCGUUUCAAGUUUUUCCACACUAGGGGCGGAGGAAAUCUAGCUUCGAUGCUUACACAAUCCUUGACUGCUCAACAUCUUACUGUCAGAAUUAAAAGAUACGUACAUAUCCACCCUUGAUGCUUACAUGCUAUUUUCUUCCAUGCAGCGAAUCCGGAGACUCGGACGAUGAUGAAGACACCGGCGCCUGCACCUGUGUCAUCCAAUGAGGCCAGGGGUCUCCACUGUAAAUUCUGUGAAGAAAAAACAAAAAGCAAAAACAGAAGAGGAUUGUCUGAGUCAGCCAUUAGUCAUUGUCUGUAGAGGCUAGACCGCUAGAGAGCAGCAGGUCCAUCCAUUGUUGUGCGUGUGGAUAUUUGGAUGCCAUGGCUUGUGUUGUGUUUCAUCAGCAGCUUCAACUGUAAAAUGUUGUUACAGAUGCAUAGCUUUAGAAGAUUUCUGCCAAAUGUGCCAUAUUCUCCUGCCUGAAUUUUGCUCUGCUUGCUGUGGCUGAGACAUUCUGAUUGGCUGGUACAUCUGUCUGUCAAUGGGCCUGGCUGGACUUGACCUGAUCCAAUCUGAUGAUUCUAACCGGGCUGGACUGGGCUGUCCAUUUGGGGACAAUGUGUUUUUCUCUUCAUUUUUAUACACUUCUUCAUUUGACACUAUGGUCACUAGUGGGCCCGUCCGAGCACGGACACGCAGAGUGAAGAGGACUGUGAGCAAUGGGCCCAGUGAUCAGAGAGGAAAUACGGACAGGCCUAUGCUCAUUUCAGUUCCCAGGCCCAGCCCAACAAACCAAGCGACAGAGAGAGCGUGUGUGUGGGCCCAUUGUGUCAGAGAGAGAAAACACCGAGGCAGGUGUUGCCGCGUCGUUGCGCUGCGCCACCCAAAUCUCGCUUCCAACUUCUCCGGCACGGUGCUCCGCAGUCUCCGCCAGCCCGCUGCGACCUCCGCCCGCCUCCUCCCCACACCGGAGACCGCGCCGCGGCCAGCGGGCUAAGGUAGCGCGGGGAUGGCCUCCGGAGGCUCGGCCGGACGCGACCCGUACGACGAGGAGGCCGGCGGCCGCCGCCCCCUCGAGCUGGACGGCCGUGACGCCGCCGCCGCCUCGUCCUCCGACCACCGGCCUGGUGAGCUCGAGUUUGUCUCUUCUCCGGGGGCGUAGCCAUCUGGUGGCUGCGGGAUCUGGUGCGGGGUUGCGGUUUUGGGUUCCGGAAUCGGGAGAAUUUCAGCGUGUCGUCGGAUUUCGUGUGGUGGAACAGGAGAUCGAGUUGAAUUGUGGGGAGGAGAGCGUGCUCGGUUGAGGUAGCGUGUUCUGACUUCGAGCUGCUAGAGUUGUGCGUGUGUGAUCGUCGGUUGGCGCAAUGCAGCUGCCGUGGGCAGCUGCAAUUUGGUAAAUUAGAGCCGGGUCUGGGUGAGUGAUGCAUUACAUGGCGUAAUAAUGUGUAACUGUAACAAGGUGCAUAUUGAAGAUAUGCUGGGAGGUGAAGGCCAGGUCGCGGCUGAUAUGCUUGACCACAGAAUCUAGGCUUCUAAGCAAGCUUGUUGUAGGAUGUUUCUGUUAUGCCUUCAAAAUUCAGGCCAUGAUGCAUUGCUUAAAUGGUUGGCAGUAUGUGUUUUGUUUGCCUCUGCAUCACGAUCAUCUCAAAUGCUCAUUCCUGCCGUGUUAUCUAUUGUAGGGAAUGCCAUGCCUAGAUAUCAAGUGGGCUCCACGAAGGAUGAUACGAGUAGUAGAUAUGCUGAGGGGUCACAGCAACCCAGUACAGAUGAUGUGCGCAAGAGCAAGUCUGGGUCGAGAUACUAUACAGCAUUUGGGGUGGAUCUGUCCCCAGAUAAUAUGGCAGUUGCCAUUGUAUAUUUUGUGCAAGGGGUUUUAGGUCUUGCACGGCUUGCUGUGAGCUUUUAUUUGAAAGAUGAUCUUCAUCUCAAUCCAGCUGAGGCAUGUGUUGCUCAUUCCUUUUUCCAUCCUCCAUAUAGCAUCUUUAUGUUCUUCAUGGUAGAUUUAGAGUUCAUUCCUUUUCCAUGAUGUAAUAUUUUCUUUUUAAUUAAUAGAUAUUGCUAAGUACUAAAAUAGUUCGUUUAUAUAGACUGCAGUUGUAUCUGGUUUCUCAUCCUUGCCAUGGUUGAUCAAGCCCCUCUAUGGCUUUAUCAGGUUUCCCGAAACCUCCCACAUCCAUCUCUUUCUCAUUUAUGUGUACUAUUGAUUUUGAAUCCUCUGCUCUCGCCUUUCAGUGAUUCCAUUCCACUCUUUGGAUAUCGAAGAAGGUCAUACCUUUUUCUGUCAGGGUUACUUGGAGCACUUUCAUGGAGUUUGAUGGCCACAGUAGUGAGCAGUAAAUACAGUGCUGCAUCCUCUAUUCUUCUUGGGUCACUUUCUGUUGCCUUUUCGGAUGUUGUAAGUGCAAACUGAAUAUUCGACCCACAAGUUAUCUUGGCCUGCCCUAUAUAAUCGAUCAAUAAUAUUAAGUCCUGUGUAUUUCAUUGAUUCAGUUGUUUCUUGAUACUUUCAUUUUUUUUCCUUUUCAACAGUCAUAUUCCAUGCUAGUAAUUUCUUAUCUGAUAUGCCACUAAAUUUACUAUUUGAAUGAGAAAAAUUGGUUUCCUUCUAUAUUUGGCUCUGUACUCUGUUAUACAGUGGAACUGUGAUCAUUGUUGGGAGUUGGAACAAUUUUUAUCCCUUUGUUGGCAUACUUUACUUUCCAUAGAGAAAAGGGCUCAGUGAAAAUUUGCAUUGAGUUAUCUCAAUUUAACUUAACAGAUUAAUAAAGGCUUGAGAACAGCUUUAAGAAGUGGUCUAGCAUUAAAAAAGUUAUUGAGACAACCUACAAAGGAGCUAAUACCCCUCAAACAAGCUGAAGCACUUAUGUAAAGAAAAUUUUCAUUGAUUUGCUUUCUAGCAGGAUUCAUUUAAAUCCCUACUGAAUACACCAACUCGACCAAAUGUUUAGGAAUAGAUUCCUGCUGGUUGUUUCCUUCUCUUGAUUCCAAAAAUUUUUAUGCAGACCUUAUCUUCUUUCAUGAUGCAGCUUACAAUGCAUCCUUCUAGCUAUUGACACAAUCCAAUCAUAUAUUUUGUAAAGUUUAAGCAUAUCAAUGUACAGCGCAACCAAAGAAUAAAUGGUUACUAUCCUCAAAAGUCAAAACUAUAAAUAAGAUACAAGCUCUCAUUUAAUACUCAUUAGUAGAACAAUUUUCCUUGGAUCGUUAGAAGGUCGAAGCAUAUCGGCUAAUUUUGGAAUUAGCUUGGAUUGUUUUAUUUAAUUUUCUUCAAAAGUUACUGCAUACAAUUUCCAGUUCUAGGCUUUUGUUCUAGCUAGCUUUCUAAUUUGCAUGCUAAUGCACCAUUCUGGCAACCUAACAGGCUAACACUGCUCUUUCCCAUCAAGAAAAUGUUGGAUAAUCCCAACAUAAUCAUAUUUCAGUGGAAGUUUUACACUGUAAGGCUAACCAUUUAAACUUAUUUUACAAUGCCAUUGAAACUAAUCAAUUCAUUGCGGGUCUGUGUAGCCCUAAUAUUAAUGCUGUUCUUACCAAGUUUGCCAGUGUGAUUAUUAUUUUUAUCCAAAUGAAUCUUUUGUAUAAAAAAAGAUCAUAUCAUUUUCACUGCACGGUAGGACUGGGGAAUAAGAAAAUUGCAAGUAUUUUGCUUCAAGGUUUUGUUUCAUAACACGUCUGGGAACACUGUAGGUAGUGGACUCUAUGGUUGUUGAAAGAGCCCGUGGAGAAUCUCAAAGUACAUCUGGAUCUCUCCAGUCUCUCUGUUGGGGAUCUUCUGCCUUUGGAGGAAUUGUGAGUGCCUACUUCAGCGGUUCACUUGUGGAUACUUACGGAGUAAGGUUUGUCUGAUAGUACCACUUAAGCUGACUCACACCCUAUUAUUUUGUAGCUCAGUCUACUGAUGAAAAUAUUCCUCUAAACGCAGAUUUGUCUUUGGUGUUACAGCAUUUUUACCCCUGAUGACAUCUGCUGUUGCAGUUCUUGUAAAUGAACAUCGCAUGCCUUUCGGAGAACGUACUAUCUUACUCUCUGGUUCAGGAUUUGUUGAGAGCUCUAAGCAGCACGUCAGACAGCUUUGGACUUCAGUAAAGCAACCUAGCAUUUUCUUGCCAACCUUGUUUAUAUUCCUUUGGCAAGCAACACCGCAGUCAGAUUCUGCUAUGUUUUUCUUCAUGUAUGUAUGAGAAAGUCUUUACGGUAUUAAUAUGUGAUGGAUCUGUCCUGUACAUGCCUUAUUACUUUUUUACUGUUGCAUUGUGGUUAGUUGUAAUCCAACAACUAAAACUUUCAUGGAUUGGAAGAAAGGUCUUAAUUCAUGCAGAUUAUUGGACGCUUCCUCUAGGUCGUCUUUAUUUGGAGUGAUUUCGCUACCAUAGGCUGUAACGGCACACACACAAAAGCAAGAAAAUUACCUUGCUUCAUAAAAUACAAAGACAAAGUAUUGAUUUUGGUUAACUAAUUUGGAUCAUAAUUUAUACAUGCCAUUAAAGUGUUGCUUUUCAUUUUGUUUGGUCCCUUCUUCACUAGUUGUGUAUUAACAGUUUGAAGAUAUCUACUGAUAUGGUCUUUUUUUCCAACUUUUUUUUUACUGAAUAUGAUCUCAACUCUUUUAUGCUUAUUCGCAUAUUAAAUAAUUAAACAAGUAUGUCAGAUCUUUGAUGCUUUUGGUUUGCAUUUUAAUGACCUGAAACCUAUGCCACUUUUCAUUAUGAGCUACGCUGGCCUAAUGGGAGCAUGCAGGGCGCUUGUCUGAGUCAGAACUUUUUUUCAGAUUUGUCCCAUUUUCUGGUAUGGAGUCCUUUUGUACCCUUUAUAAACACUUUAGGCACAUAUUUAAGGAUGGACUGUUGUGACAUCCUUCUUUGGAUUCUCACUUCUGUGCACUGUGGUCUUCUAACUGUUUGGGUUUUCCAUGCUAAGUCUUUGUCUUGUUUGAUUGAUCAUGUUCUUUAUUUACAUGAAUAUAUACAUGAUUAAAUGGUUUUAUCUGUGUGGUUUUUGAAACGAUCAAUUUUUUAUGUCCUGUAAUUUAUUUCAGCACAAAUAAGCUUGGAUUCACUCCAGAGUUUCUAGGUCGUGUGAAGCUUGUUACCUCUAUUGCAUCCCUGCUUGGUGUUGGGAUAUACAACUAUUUUCUGAAGGAAAUUCCUCUAAGAAAAAUCUUUCUUGUGACAACCAUCAUAGGUUCAGCUCUUGGGAUGACACAGGUGCUCUUUGUGCUAUUUAUUUGAUUGGUGCUGCAAUUGGUUCUGUUCUUUAAACAUACUGCACUGUAUAUAUUUAGGUGCUUCUCGUAACUGGGCUUAAUCGGCAGUUUGGGAUCAGUGAUGAGUGGUUCUCUAUUGGUGAUUCAUUAAUCAUCACAGUCCUUAGUCAGGUAUGUAACAUUAAUGCAAUGCUUAAUAAUAGCAAAGGAUUUUACAUGAUUGGGGUGCAUUGGAAACAUAUGUUGAUCGCAUAAAAAUGCAUUCAGGUGAUCAUGUGCCUUCUUUCCUGACAUAAUGACACUGCAAACUAGUACUUUAAUAUACCCACAACUGAGUCUGACCACUGACAAGUCCAGGAUCAGCAGAUCUGGGUUGUGAACACCGGUACCUAUUCUUAGGAAAAGCAUUCUCAAAUCUCAAUAUCUCAUGUGUAAAAUCGGAGCAUCAUAUUUAUAUUGACCAUAUCUAGCUUAGAAUUGUGCUUUGAGGCCUCCUGCCUUCAGUUACUUCCUCGAAUGCAAGUUUAUGUUGCCUCAUUUUUUUGUAGGCUUCAUUUAUGCCGGUCUUGGUGUUAGCUGCAAAAUUGUGCCCUCCAGGGAUGGAAGCCACUUUAUUUGCAACUUUGAUGUCCAUUUCCAAUGCUGGAAGUGUUACUGGUGGUCUGGUUGGUGCUGGUCUAACAAAGGUUUUUGGGGUCACCAGGGACACCUUUGGGAAUUUACCUCUCUUGAUUGUGGUCUGCAAUCUUAGUUCGCUGUUGCCCUUACCUCUUUUAGGCCUCCUGCCAGAGGAAUCAGGUGACACAAAUAAUGGAGAAACAAAACAUAACUGACUUGCUAAGGGUUUUAUCUCCAUGUGUUCUGGAUCUCAAGUAUGACAUGCCACCGUGCCCAGCACCGAGUGAGAUCCAUCCCAUCCACUUGGAGUUCAGAAAACCAGUAGGGAAAUAUGAAAGUCAAACUGGAUAUAAUUUCGUCUGUCACCGCUUUCAUCAGUCAGAUUAAUCUACUGUGACUAUUUACCUAUGUGAUUGAAGUGAUUCAUGAUCGUCUGAAAAUGGUCUCUGAUGCAACGGCACACAGGUAUUCGCCCCUUUUUAUAUUUUCUAGUUACCUUGUAUGCUAAGACAAGGUAGGUUUCGGUUUUCUCUACAAUCUUUGUUACUUAAUGCACCCCCAUGAAAAUUAUACCGGGGGUUGAACAUUAGUAGUUGGAUUUCCUUACAAAGUUGAAUGUAUUGUGCCGAAAAGGGGGGAAUAUUUAUACUUUAUGGAAACCUGAAGUAUGGGCAUGUAAAGAAUAAAUACUUGCACACAGUUCAACUUAUAUCAGGUUCUGCUUACAUCACUAGGCCAAACAAAGUGGAAUCACAGACAGAAGCACAUACUGAAAACUACAGGCACAACAGAUAUGCAACAUCUGUCAUCUUUAACAACUCACUGAACUUUUCAGUGCCAAUAGUACGUGUAUCGAUGACAAUAGACGGUACGUGUAGACCUUUGAUGUUUGUAUUGAGGUUAACUUGAAAUAUGAUUUCCUUAUAAAAAAAGUUGAAAUAUGAUUUCAAAUUAUUGGUGAAUUGAAUCAGAGUUCAGUAACAAGGUAUUGUUGUAAUCAAUGUAAUGCAAAAGACGACCUGGAAAAAAAAAAGGGAUCCAGGAACCUGUGUACUUGUACCUUUUUUUCCUUCCUUUUGACUUGAGAGGGUGUGCUCCUACUCCUACAGUUGAUUUGUAUAUCCAGUAAGCUUGGAUCAGUUAAGUUAUCAUGAGUACACAUCAUUGUUGUUAUUCUCUUUAAAAAAUGCGACCAUUGUUGUCUAGUCCAUUGUUGAAUUUUGCUAUGAAUCAUUUAAAUUCAAAAUCUGUAGAAAUACAAGGUCUAUUCUGUACCAUUUUAAUACAUGAUAAUGGAGAGCAGCAUAAAUAACCAAUAUACUCUGAAUAUUCUGCCUCAUUUGCUCUUGGAGUCUCUUGAGACGUCAGAAUGUAAACAAUGCCACUUGGUUGCAGUAGACAUCAUCUCCAAGACUCCAAGAGCAAUGCAUUCAGGUUUCAGUCAACAUCAUCUCCACAUCAUGUUCUUGCAUCAGUGCAUCACAUCAGUUUAUCACGUGGAUUUUAUAUUCACAAUGGGGUCCAUGUAGGCUUAUGCUUCGUGUCAGCAUUACAGCCUAUGUUUCCAUAGUUUAAGUGCUCGUCUAAUCAGCAUGGUUGGAUUAUUCUGCCACAUGAAGUAUCCUGACUGACCUCUACUUCCAUUGCAAUUGUGGGGUCAACUCUGAACUGCAUCGUUGUUUUUUUUUCCUUCACCUGACAAAAAUGGCUGGAGAUUGUGUUCCGAUCCGAUUCCUGGCAUCAGAUCCAGCCUUUCUGGCCAUCACCUGUUUUUCUUUUUUAUAUAUUAUGUUUCUUUUUCUUUUUCUUUCAAACCAUUUUUUCUAAGCAUGUGCAUCUUGAGACGCUUCAUAUGAUUGUUGAAGCUAAACUCACAUCAUGAACAAAACUAUGAACCUGAGUACAAAUGGUAGUGCUACAGGUGGUACUUGUUUGUAUGGAUGUCGCCAUGCAAGUCCUGACGGCGACAAGUGGCGAGUCAAGCUGUUCCCUUUAGUUGUUAUGCAUUUUUUUUAAAAAAUUAUGAAUAUGAUUGUUAUUACCUUGUUUCGUACGAAAGUAUUUUAAGCCAUGUGUUCACAAGUUUUGGUAUAAGUAGUUAUUCACUUACAGCCACAAGUAGCUAGUAAUAACUUGCAAGAAACUGUGAUUUUGGUUACUUUCCUUUGAUCUGGCCUGAGUUUGACACAUGGAUUCAUGACUUUGGCAAGAUUUUACUUGCUACACUAGCCCAGAUGUAUUUAAAACACUAAGAUUUUUCGCAAGAAAUAAGUUGAGUCCUAUAGAGUUUAAGACAAGUCACCUAUUUGCUGAAUGAGUACCUGCAAUGUACUCCCAUUGUCCCACAAAGAUUGCAAUUAUAGUUCAAAAUUCGUUCUUGUGUUCAGACCAUGGUUGUGAUUUGUGCCCAGUAGUCGGUUUGGGACAAUGGCAUUCCGACGAUACGUUUUCCCCUCUCUAUUGGAGUGAUUGGUAGUCCUAGCUCGUGAAAAGUGUAAAAAGGAAAAGAAAAAGAAAAUAAAAACAUGGUAACUAACAUGGGUGGGCCGGUCUCUAGCAUGCGGGGUCCACGUUGUGGUGGCCCCCGCCACAUGUGGAAUGUGACGUGUACGGCCCUGCGUGGACGAUGGCUGUGCGAAUGGAGCACACGUCACGUCGUAACGUGUGCGCUUUCUUUCUUAUCCUACGAUCCUAUCCCCUCUAGGCACCACCACCCUUUGUUUGUUCUACGAUUUUUUCCUCCCAUCUUUCCUUUUUUUUUUCUUCAUCUUGCGCGAUAUUUUUCACGUUUCCAACUCGACGAGAUUUGAGGCCAGGCUUGUUAGGAUCUCUUGGUUGGAAAUAAAUGUAAUGCUCAUAUGAAGAAAAUAUUUUUCCAACUUCAAUGAUUUUCUAUGAUGAUGAUGUUUUAUUAUUAGCAAAACUUAUACAGGUGACUUCAAUCAUUGUUUGUCUAAAUGGUAGUUUGCAUGUUUAAACUCUUAAACUUUUCAAAAAAAAUAAACUCUUCUUGUUCGCCAUACUAUCAUUCUAAUUUUUUUUUUGAGAGGUACUAUCAUUCUAAAUAGGCGCAGCCAUUUAAUCCGAACAAUGUUUGAUCUGAUACUCAGCUUAAUAAUAGUCCAAACAAGCAAUACACUUUAUAUGAUCGAUCCAAGUAGUGUGGAUGAAUCCUAUCACCCUAAUUCUCUAGAGUUUGUAGUAGAAGUUAUAAUUGCGACCUGUAGUGAUGUGUAUUUUGCGACGGCAAUAAUUCAGUUACGAGGUAUUUCAAUUUCCCUAGCGGUAAUCUCACAUAUCACAUCCGGUUUUAUUUAUCCACAACCUAAAAUUUAAAAGAAAAUUGAGAUGUGGCAUGUAAGGAUAACGAGAUAAGUCUAAUCCUUACCCUAAUCCAAAUCUUGUUUCAUCAAGUCUCUAAAUCCUUUAAUCCUCUUAUCACGGAUUCCACUCCUAUUUUUACGAAGAGAGCCCAAGCCAAAAUCAACGGUCACCACCUCCUAUUUCUCCUUCCCCUCCCUCCCCUCCCCCCUCCUACGAUUCCCCAACGCUGAAGCGCGGAGGCUGCUCCACACCCUCACCGCUCGCGCGAAUUCCGAGGCGCCGCUCCGAUCCGCCCUCCCCACCGCGACCGCGCGUCUCCCUAGGGUUAGGGCUCCGCUCCCUCGCCCUCGCACUCGCCCUCGCCCUCGUACUCUCCUCCUCCCGACGCGGCCCCCCGCGCGCGCCCGCCACGCCAUGAGGGUCCACCCGGCCCCGCGGAAGCGGACCAUCGCCGUGCAGCGCUGCGGGGCCGCGGCCGCGGCCGCGGCGGCGGGGGCCGCGCUGGGAGGCAAGAAGCUGCGCCGCCUGCCGCACAUCUUCGCCAAGGUGCUGGAGCUCCCGUUCGCGGCCGACGCGGACGUAUCCGUCGAGGAGGACGCGGCGGCGCUGCGGUUCGUCGCCGCGGCGGUCGACGGGUUCUCCCCCGCGGGCGCCCGCGCGCACGCCGUCGAGAUCCACCCGGGGGUCACCAAGGUCGUCGUCCGGGACCUCUCCUCCGGCGGCGCCCACGGCGACGACGACGGGGCCGCGGCGUUCGAGCUCGACCGGUGGCGAUUCCGCCUCCCGCCCUGCACGCUCCCCGCCAUGGCCACCGCCACCUACGCCGAGGGCGAGCUCGUCGUCACCGUCCCCAAGGGCGCCGGACCCGAUGACGGCGACGGCGACGGCGCCACUGUCCUUGGAGGCACGGAGAGCGUCCUUGUGCUUGUAUAGUAUAUUUAUGCCAUGACCCGACUGUUUUGCUGAUUCGCCUGUUUCUACUUUCUACUACUAAUAUCAAUAUUUAUAUCAUGCGAGAUGAUGGUGAUAAUAUGCUAAUAACAGAGUCAUAAGAGUAUGAACGAUGGAUGCAAAUCGCCGUUUUCUGUGAAUUCUCUGAUCUGCUCGUUCAACUGUUGGUGAUCUUGUGUCAGUUCUUGCAAACCAUUUGUGAUGUAUAUAACUAUACCUUUUUAGUUGUUUAGUUGAGUAAAGGUUCAGCAUGAAUUAGCAUCCAGGCAUUUGUUGCAGUUUGAUUAGCUUAGCAAAACUGAAGGAUCAAAUGAUUCGGGUUAGAAAUUGGGAAGUCUGUUAAUCAGGUUGGUCAGGAAUUGGGAAAUUGCUUGAAGAGUUGCUCUGUAUCUAGUGAUGUUUUGUAGUAGGUUAGCAGUUCUGAAGACUGCAAGACUAAGAGUUGACUCUAUAUUCACUUGAUGCUGGAGUGUUUUGAGCAAAAUUUCCAAUCUCAUGGCAUCUGAGACGUAUAGAUGAUUUUAAUGUGUCCAGUCUACAGUCGUAGUUGUCUGGCUACUUGGCUAGCCUCGUUGCGUGUGUGCAUUUCCUGUGCUGAACUGAUGGAAAUGAUUGUGUCGUGAUUUGGAGGUUAAGAUGUCAUGGUUUGGUUCAAUCAACUAUUCAUUUUCUUAUCAGUUUGUCUAUAAGUAAUCCAGGCGCAUGGGUCAUAAUCUUCUGGUGUAUUUUUAAACCCCUAGAGGUUUCGGAUUGGUGAUGCCUGUCGAUCAAUCACCAAUCCAUUUUAAGGAGAUAUCUAUUUUGUUCUACAUGCAGUCAUGCAUCAUAACAGAAAUUCAUCAUGUGUCCUCAAAAACUUGUAAUAAUUGCAUCUUAAAGCAAUAGAGCGUAUCCAAUAGACUAUUGAGCAUAUAUUGGCCUAGAUUUCAUUGUCUACUUUAUCCUAGUUUUGUUCUGAUGUAUUCGCUCCCUUUUAUCGCAUCUUUUGCUUUCAGAAGAUGCUCGGCUUGCUUGUCAAACUAGCUUACUUCUAACUGGGUCUUAACCCCACCUGAAUUCCUUUAAUUUUUAUUGAUCGGGUGAUUCGCUUUAAUCAAUCCUCUUGUAAAAUUGCUGGACUUUCUGGUGCUCCAAAUAUAUCUAACCACUUAGAGAAACACCUUUCUUGAGUUUCUUUUUGUGGUCUUUUUCUCUGGUGGGGUGUGUUUGUUCGAGGAUGACUGUGAUCUUCGUCUGUUACGUGUUGCCAAUUUUGUUCUCUGAACCAGUUGACGCUGUUUUUCCCCUGUUUCUUUCGCACAAUUGUUCAUCAUGCUUCUGUACCAUUUUGCCAUGCUCUUACCUUGUUGACCCAGUGCAGCAUCCAAGCAUUUGCAAAGAUGUUAAAUGUUUGGCUCUCUCUCUGUUUCCGUAGACACUUGGAAAUUUCACUCUAUUUUCUGUAACUUUUGGAGUGAAGUGGAAGCAACGAAAAUUUCAGAGAAACACCCUGCAACUUUACGCCGUCUGUUCGAGCAACUUUGCCGCGGAACGAGGAGAUAUUUUCCAGUGGCGUUGCGAGACUGCAAGGCAAAGAGUAAACCAUGUCAUUUCCUG